rnacentral:rRNA from 1 species
CCUACGGGUGGCUGCAGUGGGGAAUAUUGGACAAUGGGCGAAAGCCUGAUCCAGCCAUGCCGCGUGUGUGAAGAAGGCCUUCGGGUUGUAAAGCACUUUCAGUGGGGAAGAAAGCCUUGGGGCUAAUACCCUCGAGGAAGGACAUCACCCACAGAAGAAGCACCGGCUAACUCCGUGCCAGCAGCCGCGGUAAUACGGAGGGUGCGAGCGUUAAUCGGAAUUACUGGGCGUAAAGCGCGCGUAGGCGGUCUGAUAAGCCGGUUGUGAAAGCCCCGGGCUCAACCUGGGAACGGCAUCCGGAACUGUCAGGCUAGAGUGCAGGAGAGGAAGGUAGAAUUCCCGGUGUAGCGGUGAAAUGCGUAGAGAUCGGGAGGAAUACCAGUGGCGAAGGCGGCCUUCUGGACUGACACUGACGCUGAGGUGCGAAAGCGUGGGUAGCAAACAGGAUUAGAUACCCUUGGUAGUC